rnacentral:rRNA from 1 species
GACGAACGCUGGCGGCGUGCUUAACACAUGCAAGUCGAACGGAAAGGCCCUGCUUGCAGGGUACUCGAGUGGCGAACGGGUGAGUAACACGUGGGUGAUCUGCCCUGCACUUCGGGAUAAGCCUGGGAAACUGGGUCUAAUACCGGAUAGGAGCCAUUUUUAGUGUGAUGGUUGGAAAGUUUUUUCGGUGUAGGAUGAGCUCGCGGCCUAUCAGCUUGUUGGUGGGGUAAUGGCCUACCAAGGCGGCGACGGGUAGCCGGCCUGAGAGGGUGGACGGCCACAUUGGGACUGAGAUACGGCACAGACGCCUACGGGAGGCAGCAGUGGGGAAUAUUGCACAAUGGGCGCAAGCCUGAUGCAGCGACGCCGCGUGGGGGAUGACGGCCUUAGGGUUGUAAACUCCUUUCGAUUGGGACGAAGCUUUUUGUGACGGUACCUAGAGAAGAAGCACCGGCUAACUACGUG